UCGAGGAUCUUUCGCAAUGGGCGAAAGCCUGACGAAGCGACGCUGUGUGAACGAUGAAGGCCUUCGGGUCGUAAAGUUCUUUCGCCUGGGAACAAGAGAGUUCAGUGAAUAACUGGAUAAUUUGAGGGUACCAGGUAAAGAAGCACCGGCUAACUCCGUGCCAGCAGCUGCGGUAAUACGGAGGGUGCAAGCAUUAAUCGGAAUUAUUGGGCGUAAAGGGCGCGUAGGCGGGUAUGAAAGUCAGAUGUGAAAUUCCGAAGCUCAACUUCGGAGCUGCAUUUGAAACUCCAUAUCUUGAGGGUAGGCGGAGAAAAUGGAAUUCCACAAGUAGCGGUGAAAUGCGUAGAUAUGUGGAAGAACACCAGUGGCGAAAGCGGUUUUCUAGCUUAUACCUGACGCUUAGGCGCGAGAGCAAGGGGAGCAAACAGG
rnacentral:rRNA from 1 species